UCUGCAGUUUCAUUCAACGGGUGGAUGCUUCACAAAAUUAUGUGUGUUACAACACACGACAUUUCCAGUUGCUUCAUGUACUCGACUCUCUCCUCAUCACCACCAGGUGUGGACUUUCUGCUGAGCUUUCUCGCAUCAAAGUGCACAGAUAACCCCAAGUGAUUCAUCACUUGACGCUGUCCUCGUGAGAUGGUUGAUAUCUGGUUGCUGCCAUAAAGAGCAACCAAAGCAUUUCCAAGCAAAUGUAAUAAAAUCCCAGACUUCAUAAGCGAGAGAAGAUGUGAUGUGACUUGCCUCUUCCGUUAACGGCGAACCCUUGGCUAAUUGCAUGGGAAGAUGAAGAUGAGUGAGGGGGGUGGUGGGGGGAUUAUGACGUUUGUUAAACAGCCAUUAAUUGUCUAGACCAGAAAUGAAAUACGAAGUUGGAGCUGAGCUUUUGCAAACUUCGGCUUGGAGUGUCAUGCUCUCCUAUAUGUUGCAGCUCAGCUUUGAACUUAGCUCUUCCAUCCGGUUUGUUUGCUAACUUAUCGAUUCCCUCAUUGUGUAUGAGACUAUAUAAUAUAUAUAUAUAUAUAUAUAGACCCUUCUAUUGUA